UCCCAGCCGCAGUUUAUCACAGCUGUCCACAUCGUCCCCCAGGCUGUGGAUGACAGUCAGGCAGAAGGUGAAGAUGAUCAGCGGCCGUGUUGUUGACCGAAAGCGCAACAAACUCCUCCAGCGCAACGCCAUGUUGAACUGUCACGUGACUGCCGGAGCUCUUAAAGAAACAGUGCACUAGAUUCGCCGCACACAUAGCAUGUGAGGCUCGCGCAGGUGUAAACAGACAAAACAGGACUCAAUCUCAGCCCAAAACAACACUUGAAAUGCUGGAUUGUGUUUUAUGAGGGGUUCCAAGUUUUGAUUUAACCUCAAGACCAAGUGUAUGGACAUAAAUAUUGUAGGUCAAUCUGCACUGAUUUUUCAAGAUAACGACAAUGUAUGAGAACGUACCGACAGUGUCUGCUUCCGAGCGGCAGCAGGUGCUCCAGGCCUUGGAAAGACUUCAGUCCAAGCUCGUGCAGAGGGAUGAGUGGACCCACAGCGACAGGCUCGGCACGCUGAAGGAAGCCCUGCAGAGCCCUCUGUUCGGCCACAUCCUCACCCUGCAGCACUCUGUCAAACAGCUUAAA